AUCAAAGAGGUCUCUGCCAGCAGCACUCUGGGUAGUUUUGGUUUUCCCCUGUAGGAGUUGUCUGGUGCAGACUUGAGCAGCGCUUCUCAAGCCAUGGAGGGAGUGUGUGCCGCAGCGUUCACGGCUUUUUCCGUGGCUUAUUCCGGGUACUUUUUCACCCACCUGGCGCGUCACAUCACCCGUGCCUGGAGAGGAUCUGGUCUUUGGAGCCCAAAACCAACCUGGGAGUCUCCUGUGGCUGCGUGUCUUCCUGAAGAAGAGGCCAAAGGGGAGGAGGAUGCCCAGCCAACUGCACCUGCUG